AUUGAACGCUGGCGGCAGGCCUAACACAUGCAAGUCGAACGAUUGGCGGACGUGUGAGUAAUGUCUGGGAAACUGCCUGAUGGCGGGGGAUAACUACUGGAAACGUUAGCUAAUACCGCAUACCAUCGGAUGUGCCCAGAUGGGAGUAGCUAGUAGGUGGGGUAAAGGCUCACCUAGGCCACGAUCCCUAGCUGUUCUGAGAGGAUGACCAGCAACACUGGAACGGAGACACGGUCCAGACUCCUACGGGAGGAAGCAGGGGGGAAUAUUGCACAAUGGGGGCAAGCCUGAUGCAGCCAUGACGCGUGUAUGAAGAAGGCCUUCGGGUUGUAAAGUACUUUCAGCGGGGAGGCGUUAACCGCAGAAGAAGCACCGGCUAACUCCGUGCCAGCAGCCGCGGUAAUUC
rnacentral:rRNA from 1 species